UACGUAGGGAGCAAGCGUUGUCCGGAAUCAUUGGGCGUAAAGAGCGCGUAGGCGGUCCGGUAAGUCGGUUGUGAAAACUGGGGGCUCAACCCUCAGACGCCGACCGAUACUGUCGGGCUAGAGUCCGGAAGAGGCGAGUGGAAUUCCUGGUGUAGCGGUGAAAUGCGCAGAUAUCAGGAGGAACACCAAUAGCGAAGGCAGCUCGCUGGGACGUUACUGACACUGAGGCGCGAAAGCGUGGGGAGCGAACAGG
rnacentral:rRNA from 1 species